ACAAGUACCGUGAGGGAAAGUUGCAAAGCACUUUGAAGAGAGAGUUAAAGAGGACGUGAAACCGAUGAGGUGGAAACGGACAGAGCUGGCGUGUCUGGCCUGCAUUCAGCCGCCGCGCGUCGGGCCCCGGUUUGCCGCACUCCAGAUUGGGAAGGUGGCUGGGCUGCUGGCGUGUCGGUGGUGCAUUUGCAGGUGGAGUGCGCCGAGGCGCUCGGCUCAGCGGCAUGAGCUCGGCUUUGAGGCCAGUCGCGCAAGCGGUCUGGUACCCGGGUCGGGGGAGUGUUGUUUGGGCUGAGUGUUCGCUUGGGCACCGGUUUCGGGCCCGGGUGGGUGCCGAGCUGGCGGUGGACGGCGGUCGCGUGCGACACGUGCCUUCAGUCAGUUCGGUCCUGCUCGAGCUCUCGCGUGUCCGGCCUCGGUGUAAAAGCCGGUCAUCUGUCCGAUCCGUCUUGAAACACGGACCAAGGAGUUUAGCGUGUGCGCGAGUCAUCGGGCGUUGAAAACCCAAAGGCGCAAUGAAAGUGAAGGUCUGCCUUGUGCAGCUGAUGUGUGAUCCUGGGCGCCGCGGUGCCCGGGCGCAACAUAGUCCCGUCCCGACUGCAUGCAGUGGGGCGGAGACAGAGCGUACGCGCUGAGACCCGAAAGAUGGUGAACUAUUCCUGAGCAGGAUGAAGCCAGAGGAAACUCUGGUGGAAGUCCGAAGCGAUUCUGACGUGCAAAUCGAUCGUCUGACUUGGGUAUAGGGGCGAAAGACUAAUCGAACCAUCUAGUAGCUGGUUCCUUCCGAAAGGG
rnacentral:rRNA from 1 species